rnacentral:rRNA from 1 species
AAUGAACGUUGGCGGCGUGGAUUAGGCAUGCAAGUCGUGCGAUAACCCCGCAAGGGGGGAAAGCGGCGAAAGGGAGAGUAACGCGUGGGUACCUGCCCCUUGGUCCGGAAUAGCUGCGGGAAACUGCAGGUAAUGCCGGAUAAUAUCCUCGGAUCAAAGGUGUGAUUCCGCCGAGGGAGGGGCCCGCGUUCUAUUAGCUAGUUGGUAGGGUAAUGGCCUACCAAGGCGACGAUGGAUACCGGGUGUGAGAGCAUGACCCGGCUCACUGGGUCUGAGACACUGCCCAGACGCCUACGGGUGGCUGCAGUCGAGAAUCUUCGGCAAUGGGCGCAAGCCUGACCGAGCGACGCCGCGUGCGGGAUGAAGGCCUUCGGGUUGUAAACCGCUGUCGUAGAGGAGGAAAUGCCAUGGGGUUCUCUCCAUGGUUUGACCUAUUCUAGGAGGAAGGACGGGCUAAGUUCGUGCCAGCCGCCGCAGUAA